rnacentral:ncRNA from 1 species
UAUUUGAAUCUAGUAAGAGAUGGUUGGCAUCUCCCCCGACAGGGAUGGGAACAGCCUUCGGGCUUUACCUGUUAACAGACACAUCCGGUUAAGGCUACCCACCUCCGGUGGAUCUUACCCAAUUUGG